rnacentral:lncRNA from 1 species
AAUACUGCUCCAUGUUUGGAGCACCUGCCACGUGCCACUCAGGACGCUGGUAGCUCCUGUAACUCCUCUGACCUCACAGCAGCUACUGCUGUUACUGAGGAAAGGUACAGAUCAGAGACCUUGGAAUGAUUAAGUGACAUAGCCAGGUGCUCACAGGAAGGCUCUCGUCUGCAGCUUUUGAUUGAAAAACCCAUUCUUAUAAAACCACAGCUAGAGCUGCUGUCUCAACUGCCACAUCCAAAGCCGUCACCUAAGGCCACUCUGUCCAGGAAAUUUUCCUCCCUGGCCUCUCAACUUGAAGCUCCUUUCCUUCAUAUCCAUCUUCCUUUCUGACUCCUAGCGUCAUUGUCACCAAAAUAAAUAGGAUAAAUUUAAUACCCUUUACUAACACCCCCUCUGACCCCCUGACCGCCUGCUCUGACAUUUGACUCCCACCUUCGCCUGUUCUCUCCUCCAGCAAGGAAUCAUGGACCCCAGGCACCUCACUCCAUCUUUGCUUUGCUUGGAAUACUGUUGAGCUUUGCGACAGACUUUUCAUCCUUCAAGGCCCAGCAGUUCAGGCAGACAGCAGACAGCCUCACUAGGAGUAGGCUGAGCCUGCUUCCCUGCCAGACUAGGGUGGGCUGACUGGUGUCUGCUUGCACAAAGUAGUUGCUGGCUAAAAAUAUGAAUGAAUGAAUGUGCUGGCCAUGGAACCCAAGGCUUCGAAUAUGGUAGGGAAAAGCUCUAUCCCCAUGAUUUUGAGCUUAUCACAUCUAUGAUCACUUCAAAUCUAACAGAAAACCUUGCAAGGAUACCAAGGGAAGAAGCAAUGGCAUCUGGCCAUAAACUUGUGUCUUUGGCCUCUUGACCUCCUGCCCUGUCACUGUCUAGCUCUUCCUUGGACCUUUGUUUCUGAUGCCUUCAGUAGUGGAUUACUGCAAACUCCGUAGAAGCCCAGACUACUUUUAGGAGAUGGGGUAUGUACUAUGGGUAUUUUUUUUUUUUUCUGCUGUAAGUAACUUUCUUUCUUAGUAGAGGGCCCC